UAGGGAAUCUUCGGCAAUGGGGGCAACCCUGACCGAGCAACGCCGCGUGAGUGAAGAAGGUUUUCGGAUCGUAAAGCUCUGUUGUAAGAGAAGAACGUGUGUGAGAGUGGAAAGUUCACACAGUGACGGUAACUUACCAGAAAGGGACGGCUAACUACGUGCCAGCAGCCGUGGUAAUACGUAGGUCCCGAGCGUUGUCCGGAUUUAUUGGGCGUAAAGCGAGCGCAGGCGGUUUAAUAAGUCUGAAGUUAAAGGCAGUGGCUUAACCAUUGUUCGCUUUGGAAACUGUAAAACUUGAGUGCAGAAGGGGAGAGUGGAAUUCCAUGUGUAGCGGUGAAAUGCGUAGAUAUAUGGAGGAACACCGGUGGCGAAAGCGGCUCUCUGGUCUGUAACUGACGCUGAGGCUCGAAAGCGUGGGGAGCAAACAGG
rnacentral:rRNA from 1 species